UACAGAGGUCUCAACCGUUGUUCGGAUUCAUUGGGCGUAAAGGGUGCGUAGGCGGCGGGGUAAGUCAGGUGUGAAAUCUCGGGGCUCAACCCCGAAACUGCACUUGAUACUGCCUCGCUUGAGUACUGGAGAGGAGACUGGAAUUUACGGUGUAGCAGUGAAAUGCGUAGAUAUCGUAAGGAAGACCAGUGGCGAAGGCGAGUCUCUGGACAAUUACUGACACUGAGGCACGAAGGCCAGGGGAGCAAACGGG
rnacentral:rRNA from 1 species